rnacentral:rRNA from 1 species
AGUUUGAUCCUGGCUCAGAGUGAACGCUGGCGGCAGGCCUAACACAUGCAAGUCGAACGGCAGCACAGUAAGAGCUUGCUCUUAUGGGUGGCGAGUGGCGGACGGGUGGGGAAUACAUCGGAAUCUACUCUUUCGUGGGGGAUAACGUAGGGAAACUUACGCUAAUACCGCAUACGACCUACGGGUGAAAGCGGAGGACCUUCGGGCUUCGCGCGGUUGAAUGAGCCGAUGUCGGAUUAGCUAGUUGGCGGGGUAAAGGCCCACCAAGGCGACGAUCCGUAGCUGGUCUGAGAGGAUGAUCAGCCACACUGGAACUGAGACACGGUCCAGACUCCUACGGGAGGCAGCAGUGGGGAAUAUUGGACAAUGGGCGCAAGCCUGAUCCAGCCAUGCCGCGUGGGUGAAGAAGGCCUUCGGGUUGUAAAGCCCUUUUGGCGGGAAAGAAACGGCGUCGACUAAUACUCGGCGUAACUGACGGUACCCGCAGAAUAAGCACCGGCUAACUACGUGCCAGCAGCCGCGGUAA